rfam:Oryza nivara chromosome 1, whole genome shotgun sequence.
UCUAACUCUACAGCAGUGGAUUUUCAUGUCCAACGUUUGACCGUCCGUCUUAUUUAAAAAAUUUAAAAAUAUUUAGUCACACAUAAAGUAUUAUUCAUGUUUUAUCAUCUAAUAGCAAUAAAAAUAUUAAUCUAAAAAAAUUCAAAUAAGACGAACGGUCAAACGUUGAACGUGAAUAGUGUAAAACUACACUUAUU